UCCUGGUUAGCUCAGUUGAUAGAGCGCUCCAUUGGAAAUGGAGAGGUCCUUGGCUUCGAUACCAGGACCAGGCG
rnacentral:tRNA from 2 species